rnacentral:sRNA from 1 species
UACUGUUCAAUUGCAACUUAAAUAAAC